rnacentral:rRNA from 1 species
GAUGAACGCUAGCGGCAGGCCUAAUACAUGCAAGCUGAACGGUAAAUGUUGUAGCAAUACAAUAUGAGAGUAGCGUAAGGGUGCGCAACACGUAUGCAAUCUACCCGCAACAGGAGGAUAGCUCCCCGAAAGGGGAAUUAAUACUCCAUAAGAUCACGAGAAGGCAUCUGAUUGUGAUUAAACUCCAAGGGGUUGCGGAUGAGCAUGCGCAUGAUUAGUGAGUUGGCGGGGUAACGGCCCACCAAGACGAUGAUCAUUAGGGGAACUGAGAGGUGGGUCCCCCACACUGGCAGUGAGAUACGGGCCAGACGCCUACGGGAGGCAGCAGUAGGGAAUAUUGGUCAAUGGGUGAAAGCCUGAACCAGCCAUGCCGCGUGCAGGAAGAAAGCCUUCUGGGUUGUAAACUGCUUUUAUCUGGGGAUAAAAUACCCGUGCGCGGGGAAUUGAAGGUACCAGAUGAAUAAGCCACGGCUAACUACGUGCCAGCCGCCGCAGUAACAC